rnacentral:rRNA from 1 species
UACGUAGGUGACAAGCGUUAUCCGGAAUUACUGGGCGUAAAGCGCACGCAGGCGGUGCGUUAAGUCUGACGUGAAAUCUCUCAGCUUAACUGGGAGGGGUCGUUGGAGACUGGCGGACUUGAGGCGAUGAGAGGGGUGUAGAAUUCCCGGUGUAGUGGUGGAAUGCGUAGAUAUCGGGAGGAAUACCAGUGGCGAAAGCGGCACCCUGGCAUUGGCCUGACGCUCAUGUGCGAAGGCGUGGGGAGCGAACGGG